UCGUGGUUUAGUGUUUCGCGUGUCGUGCGCGCGCUGCUGUAAAAGUGCAUUUAUAGCGAUGCAAGCUGCCGGUGUUUGCGAGCGCGUUUUUUUUUAAAUGGCCCGCGCGUCGAGAGCGUACGAGUAGUGACUCGUUUCUGGCAUUGUUUCGCGUGUGGCGUGUGGCGGCGCGCCUGUUUUGUUGUAAACGACCUUUUUGUUGCUCGCUGUCUGCUUGUCCACCAAGUGGCGGCGUGGCGCGGUGGCGGCAGUGGCGUGCGCGCGCGCGUGUGUGUGUUUAGACGAACUUGAUUCCUAGCGGGCUAUAACAUAUCGAUUACUUUCCCUGAGUCGGGGAGGGCUGCCGCCCCCGCGCGCGCCUGGCAUGGCGUCGCAUGCAAAUCAGCAUGGCGGCGGCGCCGCGUCGGCCCCGCGCGCCGUCCGUCGUACGCGCCGAGCAUUACAAGAAGCGAAACUCUAGCAGCUCACAACAACUGCACAACCCGAGCGACAUUUUGUCUCGCCUCGCUUUCAAGAAGGAAAAUAGUAAUGAUGGACCGGGAACAAAGCCCGUCAACGAGAACAACGGGAUAAGUUAUGCGUAUAUAACGCAGCGCGCUGCGUGCGUCGUCGGUUGGAACAAUUGAUUAACUGUUUCCUGGACGGGUACGCAUCCAUCACACACCGACAGGCCGUACGCGGUGCGCGCAUAACGAGCACGAUAAACCGAAAAUAUUCCAACCAUCAGCCGACAACCCCGCAACAAGAUCAAUAAGCAAUCAAAGAUGGCCAAAUAAAAUAAGAAGCGAGAGAAUGUGAUAAAAAAUCACGAGACUGAAAUAUACGGCAAGUCAAAAUCAA